rnacentral:rRNA from 1 species
ACUGAACGGGAGGAGCCCAGCGCAUAACCUCGCGGUCCCUGGCCGGCCGACGAGGGGUGUUGCGUUUCGGUGGACCCGUCCCGCUCGGGCCGUUUACCGCCUAAGUCAUUGCUUGAAAGCAGCCCCGAGGAGGGUGAUAGGCCCGUGUGGCGGCGCCUGUAAAAAGGGUAAAGGCGGCUCGGGCGGAGGGGUCUUCACCGUAGAGUCGGGUUGCUUAGUACUGCAGCCCUAAGCAGGUGGUAAACUCCAUCUAAGGCUAAAUACUACCACGAGUCCGAUAGAGAACAAGUACCGUGAGGGAAAGUUGAAAAGGACUUUGAAGAGAGAGUUCAAAAGGACGUGAAACCGUUAGAAGCUUAAACGGGUGGAACCACGAAGGUCGAACGAGGGGAUUCAGCUCGUGGGCCUGCGGAGGCGGGCGGCGGCCCGUGAGAAUUCCAGCGAGAGGACCCGGCGCAAACGACGACAUGCCGGUGCCCCGCCCCCGCCGCCGCAGCGUCCGGCGGGCUUACUUCUCCCUCUAGUAGGUCGCCGCGACCCGUUGCGGGGACCCCCGAGGCCGUCCCGGAUUGGUAGCCCGGGCGCAGCUCUGGGUGAUGACCGGAGGCGGUUCUGACGGGCCCCUGCGACGGUCACUGCCAGGAGGCCCGGCGGCUCCGGCCGCUCGGGCCUCUCGCGGCGUGCAAGGGAUCGGUAAUCCACCCGACCCGUCUUGAAACACGGACCAAGGAGUCCAACAUGUGCGCGAGUCUAAGGGCGAACUAAACCCGGAGGCGAAGUGAAAGCGAGCCGCGAGCCGGGUUGUCAAAGACCCGGCAGGCAGGCAGGCCGAUCCCCGGCUGCCGUCAACGGGGGCCGCUCUUCGGAYCGGGCGCGAGAGACCAUCCGCCCGGCCGGGGCGCCCCGGGGGCGGCGGCGUUCGGCUCUGAGCCGGGGCGCAGGCCGAGGACUUGCCGCUCGGCGGCCCGGGCAACGGGGCGCUGCGCGCCCUCAUCCCGGCGUCCGCCGGCAAGUACCUAAGAGCGCACACGUUGGGACCCGAAAGAUGGUGAACUAUGCCUGGCGAGGAUGAAGCCAGAGGAAACUCUGGUGGAGGUCCGAAGCAGUUCUGACGUGCAAAUCGAUUGUCAGAGCUGGGUAUAGGGGCGAAAGACUAAUCGAACCAUCUAGUAGCUGGUUCCCUCCGAAGUUUCCCUCAGGAUAGCUGGCAUUCGGGAUGACGAGUUUCAUCCGGUAAAGCGAAUGAUUAGAGGCCUUGGGGGUGCAAUGCCCUCAACCUAUUCUCAAACUUUAAAUGGGUGAGAUGUGGAGCUUGCUUGAUACUUAAAAUGAAGCUCUAUGAUGAAAGAAUCGGAAUGUCUAGUGGGCCACUUUUGGUAAGCAGAACUGGCGCUGUGGGGUGAACCAAACGCGCGAGUUAAGGGGCCUAAAUGAAUGCUAAUGUUGACACUAAGAAAAGGUGUUGGUUGCUAUAGACAGCAGGGCGGUGGCCAUGGAAGUUGGAAUCCGCUAAGGAGUGUGUAACAACUCACCUGCCGAAGCAACUAGCCCUUAAAAUGGUAUGGCGCUCAAGCAUUCUCCCGAUACUCGGCCGCCGGGGCACUACGGGCCUCUCCGAGGUCUCGAAGCCCCGGCGAGUAGGAGGGUCGCAGCGGUGCGCGCAGAAGGGAUCCGGCGCGAGCCGGCCUGGAGCCGCCGCUGGUGCAGAUCUUGGUGGUAGUAGCAAAUAAUCAAGAGAGAGCCUCGUUGGCUGAUGUGGAGAAGGGUUCCAUGUCAACAUCAGUUGAACAUGGGUGAGUCAGGCCUAAGCCCAAGGAUAAACUUCCUGCGUCCCACGGUUUUCCGCUGGCGACUUGUCGGUCGGCUCUCCUUCCGGGAGGAUGAGGGUUGCAGCCCCAUUCCCGGGGGGAGAUGCAACAACUAACUAACAACUACUAA